rnacentral:rRNA from 1 species
UACGUAGGGGGCAAGCGUUAUCCGGAUUUACUGGGUGUAAAGGGAGCGUAGACGGCAUAGCAAGUCUGAAGUGAAAGCCCGUGGCUCAACCGCGGAACUGCUUUGGAAACUGUUAAGCUGGAGUACUGGAGAGGCAAGCGGAAUUCCUAGUGUAGCGGUGAAAUGCGUAGAUAUUAGGAGGAACACCAGUGGCGAAGGCGGCUUGCUGGACAGAGACUGACGCUGAGGCUCGAAAGCGUGGGGAGCAAACAGG